UAUCUCUCAGCUCCACUUAAUCACAUGCUGUGUGUGGCUGGCCUACUUUCAGAAAGGGAGAGGAAGGCCCUCCUAACGCACGACAGACUGGCCCACAGUGGCCUCUCUGUUCCUAAGAGUCAACAGCU